rnacentral:misc_RNA from 1 species
UCGUGGGGCUCCGGCCCCGUCGAGAUAACACCCUUGCCUUUAUGAGUACCCUUCGUUUUCCUCGGCCGGAUUCGGCCAGUGGGGAGCACAAAACACCCUGUAACCACCUGUAACAGUCUGAUAAAACAAACAAAAAUCA